rnacentral:lncRNA from 1 species
AUCCUUGGUCCAACGCAGUCUCCUUAUGAAGCCGCUUAUUUUAACAAGAAUUCUUGAAAGACAACAAUCUACUGGAUCUUUCGACAAUCAUAACUCCAAAAUCAGAGCACAGGUCAAGGCGUCAAAGGCAAAACAACAGAGAAAAGUGGUUUCAGCAGGUGUUUGCCCUUAAACCUUUGGUGAAUAAAUUAAUUUUCAUAACUGACUUUUAAUUAAGAAAGCUGCAUGUAGAGUUCAUUUUUUUUUUUGGGUUUUUGCUCCUGGUGAUUGCUCAUAAAUGUUGAAUUCAAAUUCUUGAAGUUGCUUUGUUAAAUUGGAGGUUUUUUUGGUUUUUUGGACUUGCAGCCUAACCAGAGGUGGUGGAUGAAUAAUGUUCUUUUAAGUGGUACAUACUGUCAUUCACCUUAUCAGUACUAAAGAUUUGGGUUUACUUAUUAGUUUAAUCAAGGGGAUUUAGAAAAAAAGAUUCAUACUAACUCUAAGAAAGCAGAAAAGGACCAGAGACAACCUGUAAUUUUUUAGCGAUUUGUAUUUCAUGAACUUUUAUAUUAUUCAUUUAGGUUGUGUGAUUAAGAAAAGUUUUUUAUAUCUAUUUAGGUUGUACCAUUUUGAGCUCUGAAGGAUAGUGUAUUAAUGAAUGUUAAGGAUAGUGUAUUCAUGAAUGUUACCAUUAAAAGCAUAACUGUUGUU